rnacentral:lncRNA from 1 species
ACAAUGGAGAUAGUUGAUCCUUCCAUCCGAGAUUCAUGUGAUGAAAACGAAGUGCUGAGAUGCAUACAAAUCGGCAUGUUGUGUGUGCAAGAUUCUGCACUUCAUAGACCAAGCAUGGCAUCAGUUGUGGUAAUGCUGGAGAGCUGCACAACAAACAUUCCAUUGCCUAGACAACCAAAUUUCACUUCUGUCAGGGCCUCUAUAGACCCUGAAAUUUCUCUGGAAGUGCAUGAAGUAGCAUUGUCAAGCUAAUAACACUCACAAAACACACUUCGACGUAGCAUAUCAUUGCUGUAAUUUUCUGGUACAAAACUCACACAAGGAAGGGCUUACAAUGGAGGAAGACACACACAAACUGCUGCUGUUUCUUCUUCUCUGUUACUUCCCCGGUUUCUGCUCACUUUCGACUGCUACCCACUGCCCUUCUCUCAAUAAUUUCAGCUCCAUGUAACCUACCACUUGGAAAAAAUAAUACACUUAACACACAUUCAACUCUAGCUAACAUUAAGCUAACUCUAGCCAACUAGCCUUACAGCACAGUAACAUUAACAGUUGGUCCUGUCGGAAAAAAAGAGAUGAUAUUUGUAUAGGUAUUUUGUCAAUCAAUUUCUUACAUAAACAAAAACAAUUUUUUGUGGUCUAUAAAUUGAUCCUAUUGUUUGUUUUAAUUUAACCUUUUAAUGUGCUCUAAGGAGAAAAUUCAGCGUUAACCAUUGAGGUAGUGGAUUGAGAGCAGACUCAUCACAGGUUUAGGCCAAGAGCUCUUUCACAAGCAGAAACUGUUCCCAAUCAUCUGUGCAAACCAGCCACCAUUGUUUACCACAAUUUAAUUGUAAAAUGAGACUUCAAUGCUUGUUGCAAGCUAAGGAAGAAAUGUAAUGUGGAUGUACCAUGAGUGACACAUGCUUAAAAACUGCAUAUCCUGUCGAUAAUCACCACCUGUAAGUAUAAAACGAUUACUAUUAUAAGUUGAUAAGUGUCACGACCCGAAUCCCGGAUCCAUGACCGACACAUAGGCAAGGUUCCCCUCAAAGGUUCCAUACCUAUGCGAACCCAAACUUACACACAAACUUAUCCUAACUCAAUCAGAGUUCAACGCAGCAUUAAUAACAAAAUCAACUUCAUAAUAUAAUUGAAUUGUCUUAAUACAAGAGUUAAUAUAAUGCAGAGUUUUGGAGCACUAACUUGACAUUAAAGGAAGGUACAAAUUACAACCAAAAAGCAGGUUCGGAAGGUUCAACAAAAUGACCUGCUAUCAAGCUAUAAGCCUGAAAAGGAUAAAUAAUGAGAUGGUGAGUUCAACAACUCAGUGAGUAGAUAACGUUCAAUAUACACACACGAGGUAAUAAAACAAUGAGAAAUAUAUAUACAAGUAUGGCUUUAGGUUCUUAUGGAAAUGUUUCUCAAAUUGACCAUAACAAGAAUGUCAUAUGGUAAAACUCGUCAGAAAAUCAAAUGCAAUGAGCAUGAGGCUCCGUACUGUGGGAUGAUCAGUCCACACAGGUUGGUGACUCCCUCGACCAACUAGGGUUCAGAUACAAUGUGCACAAAGACUAACACUACCCUGUUAGCAUGGGUAUUCUGACUGACAUACCAUAGGUUCAUAAUCAUAAUCUAACAAACAUAUUCAUAUCUCAAAGCUCAACUCAUGACAUCAAUAAAAUGAAGAGCUAUCAAUUCAGAGGUCAAUUCAAAAUAUAUGUUGGUUCAUAUCAAGAAUUCAGAUUCAAUAAUUGAUCAUGCUUUAUCAUAACAAGGAUAAUAAUCAACAUAUAUAUUAUUAAGAAGCAUGAUUCAAUUCAUAUUAACAAAUCAAAUAUUUAUACUAUUUCUCAUGCAUAUGGAAAAUUAUCCACUCAUCUGACUCGAAAGCAACAAAACUCAAAGCUGAUAUCGAAGGAAAUCCUACUGACGUCCCGCCGGUAGAAUAUCAGGAUUAUCUGAAUACAAAUGAGACAUGUUCAAGAAUGACUCAAAAAAACAUAUAACCUAUUUAAUACACUUAUCUAAGGGUGUAUUCCAUAACCCUAUAUGUUUUUGAACUAACUAGUCAAUUUUCUCAAAAACCCAAAAUUUAACGGUUUUCCCGAAAUCUAAUCCAUAAUAAAACAACUAAUAAAAUUGAUAAUAAUUCACUAAAUAACCCUCAAUUAUUCAUCAAAUCAAUCUGCAAAAAUUAAUAUUACAGCUAGGGACUAAUCUGUAAUUUAUCCUAUUUUUAAGGGUCAAAUUGCAACUUUUGUCAAAUUGAAGGACCAAACUGAAAUUUGUCAUAAAUCCAUUACUAUACUGAAUUUCUGACCAUAAUUAGUCCUCAUUUCUGUCCAGAUCAUCUCAUUAUACUCCAAGGACCAUUCUGGAAUUUUACCAAAUUUUUAGGGUCAAAUUGUAAUUUUUGUCAAAUUGGAGGACUAAAUUGAAAGUGUUAAAAUUUCAUAACUAUACUAGAAUUCUGCCCUUAAUUCAUAUAUUAUUCUGUUCAGAAUCUCGGAAUAGGCUCCAGGGACCAAUCUGUAAAUUUUCCAAAGUUUGGGGACUAAAAUGUAAUUUUCCAAAAUUGAGGGACCAAACCGAAAUUGUCAUCUUCAACCUCAAACCCAGAAUUCUCACAGAUUACCUACUGUUCUUGCCAAAUUUCUAACUCAACAUUCACCAUUUACACAAUUCAUAACUCAAAAUCAUCACAAUCUUCCAUAAUCAACUCAUUAAUCAAUUACCCAUAACAAUCAACCUUAUAACAUUCAAUUUAAUUCAUCAAUUAACCCAAAACACAAAUUUUCAAAACCCUAACAUUCAUCAAAACUGAAAUUAAAGCUUAAUUAACACAUAUUUAUACAUAAUCUUACCUUUAAACUUAUUUUCUUCAACUCCUUUCUAUUUCCCUUCUAAUUUCCCUCUUUUCUCUUCUUCUUCUUCUUUCUCCCUUCUCUCUCACGGUUUGCUCUCUCAAAUAUUCAGAUCUCCUUUUUUUUUUCUUCUUUCUAUUUAUAUUUAUCAUCUCUUUAUUCAAUUACUACUAUACCCCUCAUUCAUUUAUUCCAAC